ensembl:lncRNA
UCUAUUGCGAAAUGUCUGGGUCUUGAUCGUUGUUUCCCUGUUUACUACUCAAAGAUAUUUUGCUUAUUAAGUCAAACGAAAUUAACUGCAAUACACUGAUCUCAAACAUAUUAGCAUAACUAGGCUACACAGAACCAUUGCGGACCCACAGUAAAAUGAGUAUUUUUAUCGUGUUAAAACAUGUCCCGGUCCAACAUGCCUAGCUCUGCCCACUGGGACGUGGCUUACGGAGCGCUCUCUGAAAUAAGAGCUCGUAUCUCGAUUCUGCCAGAUCGAGUUAUCACACAGGUAUCCAUAAUAAUAAUCACCCUCAUCGGCAACAUCUCCGAAUUUUAAUCAUUUCCUUGACCUCGGAUGACUUCAAACCGUAAGAAGGUAAUCGUGGUCGACUACAUUGGAUCAGCUGGACCGUCCACCACCCAUUUGUCAUAACAAACGGCAAUGUCAUUCUCAACCCUGGGAUCCGUGGUGGAGUUCUACAGGAGAUCCUCUGGAAACAUGGUGUAAACUAGGCGGUGGAAUGGGACAGUGCUGAGGUAUGGGAAUUUCGUGACUUUAAAGGGAGGACAUCCUUGAACAGUACAACAGGAGAAAUCACUAUCAGACAGCUAACCAAGCAGCUCAGUGGGGGUGUAUGAUUGGUGGAAAAAUACAGACCUUUCAGCAGAGAGUGAAAUUCAUUGUAAAGUCAUUGUUUCCUAAAUGGAAGGUUGGGACUUGUGAUCCAAUGAUGGAUCGGGACCUCUUUUUAGGUACUAGCUAAAGGCGGGGAUGUAACACAUUUUUAAAAUGUAAUCUUUAUUUAACUAGGCAAGUCAAUUAAGAACAAAUUCUUAUUUACAAUGACCGCCUACCCCUAUCCAAACGCUGGGCCAAUUGUGCGCCGCCAUAUGGGACUUCCAAUCAUGGCCGGAUGUGAUACAGCCUGAUUCGAACCAGGGACUGUAGUGAUGGCUCUUGCACUGAGAUGCAGUGCCUUGGACCGCUGCGCCACUCAGGAGCAAACCAUGUAAAAGGUUCAAACACAAAAAGGUUGCCAACGACUGUGUCAUGUGUUAAGGUGCUGAACAAGAACCUUGGUUAGUCCACACUUUUUAAAGACAUUUCUGUUUCUGGUUAUCUUUUUACUUCUCUUAUAAGCAAACCCUAUAUGCGGCUCUCUCCAAACAUCCCCGUGAUGAGAACGCAAGGGACUUUUUUUGUAUAUCAGAUGGGAGAACUAUGCAGGUUUGUGAGUAGAGAGAGACAAAGAGACAGUCACAGAUAAAUCUGACAUGUGUUUUAUUCCAUGGAUCCUCAUACUAGCUGCUUUUGGUGUCCUGGCCUUAGUUUUGCUUGUUGUUGGAGUAUUUCUUAUCUACAAGAAGUGUUAAAGACCAAUGCAAAGUCAAUGGAGACCCUGAGACCAGAGCUGUCCGCUCCAUUGGAGGUAUCACAGCUGAUCCUCAACAGACAUCACAUCCACAUGCCUCAAUGUGGGCUGAGCCCUGGGGAUGACGACCACUCAGAAGAGGUUCCAGAGAAGACAAUAGGACCAGCCACUCUGAAGAGGACCCAGAGAAGGCAGUAGGACCAGCCACUCUGAAGAGGACCCAGAGAAGGCAGUAGGACAAGCCACUCUGAAGAGGACCCAGAGAAGGCAGUAGGACCAGCCAAUCUGAAGAGGACCCAGAGAAGGCAGUAGGACAAGCCACUCUGAAGAGGACCCAGAGAAGGCAGUAGGACCAGCCACUCUGAAGAGGACCCAGAGAAGGCAGUAGGACCAGCCACUCUGAAGAGGACCCAGAGAAUGCAGUGGGACCAGCCACUCUGAAGAGGACCCAGAGAAUGCAGUGGGACCAGCCACUCUGAAGAGGACCCAGAGAAGGCAGUAGGACCAGCCACUCUGAAGAGGACCCAGAGAAUGCAGUGGGACCAGCCACUCUGAAGAGGACCCAGAGAAUGCAGUGGGACCAGCCACUCUGAAGAGGACCCAGAGAAUGCAGUGGGACCAGCCACUCUGAAGAGGAUCCAGAGAAGGCAGUGGGAACCAGCCAUUCUGAAGAGGAUCCAGAAAAGGCAGUGGGACCAGCCAUUCUGAAGAGGAUCCACAGAAGGCAGUGGGAACCAGCCACUCUGAAGAGGACCCAGAGAAGGCAGUAGGACCAGCCACUCUGAAGAGGACCCAGAGAAGGCAGUAAGACCAGCCACUCUGAAGAGGACCCAGAGAAGGCAGUGGGAACCAGCCACUCUGAAGAGGACCCAGAGAAGGCAGUAGGACCAGCCACUCUGAAGAGGACCCAGAGAAGGCAGUAAGACCAGCCACUCUGAAGAGGACCCAGAGAAGGCAGUAGGACCAGCCACUCUGAAGAGGACCCAGAGAAGGCAGUA